rfam:Gossypium raimondii chromosome 6, whole genome shotgun sequence.
GGGUGCGAUCAUACCAGCACUAAUGUGCCGGAUCCCAUAAGAACUCUACAGUUAAGCGUGCUUGGGUGAGAGUAUUACUAGGAUGGGUGACCUCCUAGAAAGUCCUCAUGUUGCAUCCC